CGGAGCUGCGCACCAGGCAGGCGCAACUGCCUCCAUGCAUGACGGAGCCACCUUUCCCAGGACCCUGGUCUUGGCUCCUUCCCCCUCUCCGCCUGAUAAAAGCUCCAGGAGUUCCUCCUCUUCUCUCUAUUGCCCUAAAUGAAGAACAAUAAGCAUUGCGGGUGAGGGAGAUCCGCCGUCGGCACCUAGAGCCGUGGAUGCCGCCAGAGCUUUAGGAAGGGGUCCAAGGGUAUCGUUAGACGUUGUAGAAGCUUGACUGUGACCGAACAAAGCAUUGAAUCGACUGAGCCAUCGGCAAUUGCUCAUCGGUGGUGGAGGACCACCGCGGGGAACGUGCGACAUGGUGGGCAACAUCACCUCCGCCGCUACCGUUGGUGAGUGCCUGAUUAGUAUGUUCCGAUUGUCCUUCUUGUCGCGUAGCGAGGCUUAGAUCGAUUGAUAGUGCACAUAGACGUUGAUUGGC
rnacentral:lncRNA from 7 species